UACAGAGGGUGCGAGCGUUAAUCGGAAUUACUGGGCGUAAAGCGCGCGUAGGCGGCUUUGCAAGUCGGGUGUGAAAUCCCCAGGCUUAUCCUGGGAACUGCAUUCGAGACUGCAUUGCUAGAGUAUGGGAGAGGGAAGUGGAAUUUCCGGUGUAGCGGUGAAAUGCGUAGAUAUCGGAAAGAACAUCAGUGGCGAAAGCGACUUCCUGGACCAAUACUGACGCUCAUGUGCGAAAGCGUGGGGAGCAAACAGG
rnacentral:rRNA from 1 species